rnacentral:rRNA from 1 species
AUUGAACGCUAGCGGGAUGCCUUACACAUGCAAGUCGAACGGAGUGGCGAACGGGUGAGUAAUGUAUCGGAACGUGCCCAGUAGCGGGGGAUAACUACGCGAAAGCGUAGCUAAUACCGCAUACUCUUGGGGCGGUCGAUACCGGCUUUGCUAGUUGGUGGGGUACCGGCUCCCCAAGGCGACGAUCCGUAGCUUGCUUGAGAGGACGACCAGCCCCACUGGGAAUGAUACACGGCCCAGACUCCUACGGGAGGCAGCAGUGGGGAAUCUUGGACAAUGGGGGAAACCAUGAUCCAGCAAUCCCGCGUGUGAGAUGAAGGCCUUCGGGUUGUAAAGCACUUUUGUCAGGAAAGCGGUACCUGAAGAAUAAGCACCGGCUAACUACGUGCCAGCCGCCGCGGUAAUUC